rnacentral:sRNA from 1 species
AUUUAUUCCUAGUAAUUUUUAUUCUUUCUCUAGUCACUAUUUUUAAAGACUAUUGCCUUUUCUUGUAUCUUAGAGUUUCUUGUGUAUUUUUUAUUUGUUCUGAAAUUUUUUGUUGUUAAUUUGCCUUGAAAGCCAGCUUUGAGACUUGCAGCUAUGGCUGGGUUGGAGAUGGAUUCGUGGUCAUCUCUAGGAUUAGCCCAAACCCCAAGUGUGGGAAAAAUGGGGUGGGUGUCCUGAUUUGGAAAGUUCCAGUGAACCGACAGUUUGCAGCGUAUUGUUACAACUCAUCUGAUACUUGGACUAACUCGUGCAUUCCAGAAAUUAUCACCACCAAAGAUCCCAUAUUCAACACUCAAACUGCAACACACACAACAGAAUUUAUUGUCAGUGACAGUACCUACUCGGUGGCGUCCCCUUACUCUACAAUACCUGCCCCUACUACUACUCCUCCUGCUCCAGCUUCCACUUCUAUUCCACGGAGAAAAAAAUUGAUUUGUGUCACAGAAGUUUUUAUGGAAACUAGCACCAUGUCUACAGAAACUGAACCAUUUGUUGAAAAUAAAGCAGCAUUCAAGAAUGAAGCUGCUGGGUUUGGAGGUGUCCCCACGGCUCUGCUAGUGCUUGCUCUCCUCUUCUUUGGUGCUGCAGCUGGUCUUGGAUUUUGCUAUGUCAAAAG